CACCGGCAGCUCUAGUGGUAGCCAUUUUUAUUGGGCCUAAAGCGUUCGUAGCCGGUUUGAUAAGUCUCUGGUGAAAUCCUAUAGCUUAACUGUGGGACUUGCUGGAGAUACUAUUAGACUUGAGGUCGGGAGAGGUUAGCGGUACUCCCAGGGUAGGGGUGAAAUCCUGUAAUCCUGGGAGGACCACCUGUGGCGAAGGCGGCUAACUGGAACGAACCUGACGGUGAGGGACGAAAGCCAGGGGCGCGAACCGGAUUAGAUACCCGGGUAGUCCUGGCCGUAAACGAUGUGGACUUGGUGUUGGAAUGGCUUCGAGCUGCUCCAGUGCCGAAGGGAAGCUGUUAAGUCGACCGCCUGGGAAGUACGGUCGCAAGACUGAAACUCAAAGGAAUUGACGG
rnacentral:rRNA from 1 species